CCGGCCCUUAUAGUUCCGGUUGUGGCGCCCGGGCGGAAAGUUGAAGCGGACGGACUGUGGCCGGCGAUGGGCUUGGGCAUUUCACUAUUUGUAGCUUGUUGUCUGCAUUCUGACUGGGCUGGCUUGGAUUCUGUUCACCAUGCCAACAGUGGUGGUGAUGGACGUGUCCCUCUCCAUGACUCGGCCUGUGUCAGUGUAGGGGUCUGAGGAAUACCAGCGGAAGCACCUUGCAGCCCAUGGGUUGACAAUGCUGUUUGAGCACAUGGCCACAAACUACAAGCUUGAAUUCACAGCAUUAGUGGUUUUCUCAUCGCUUUGGGAGCUGAUGGUCCCCUUCACAAGAGAUUAUAACACCCUGCAGGAAGCACUGAGUAACAUGGACGAUUAGGACAAGACAUGCCUAGAGUCCGCACUGGUUGGUGUCUGUAACAU